ACUGCACCUUCAAUGAUGCUGUCUACCUCUUUGUAAGAAGUUUCCACACAAAGAUGUCCUUUGUCAUGUGUAUCAGGGAAAGGGUAAAACUGUAGCUUGUCUUCCUGCUUGGACAAAGGCUUGCUUUCUGUUAUUAAUAUGGAAAAUAAUGGUGGAAAAAAAAUGGUUGUUUGGAGGAAUAGGCUAAAACUGCUCCCAGAAACUACCAGUUCAUCCGGUACGCAUCAUUCUUCCUGUGCAAUUUAAAACUUAAAAGGCAUGCAGAAGUCUUAUAUAGGGAGUGGUUUUGAAAAUUCCUUGACACUUGAUACCGUUGACUUUGUUUCCAAAUAAAAAAAAGCAACAGCCUUCAAAAAUAGUAAGCGGUUGGGGUUAAGUAACCACCACUGCUGGAAAUCUUUAGCAUAAUUCAUGCAAUUUUGGAGCUUUGUCCAAAGUAGAAAAGCCCAGGCUAAUGUAAGACCAAAAACGACAGGCUCUACACUGUCUCACUGCAUGUUUUCACCCACUCACUUUAUACAGUGUCCUGGUUUCAGCUGUAACAGGUGUAGGUUUUUUUCUCCUUCCUAGUGGGUGAUACAGUGCUGGGUUUCAGCUUCAGUCUGGGCAUAACGCUGAUAGCAACAGCUGGAACAUCAGUGUUUUCAGUAAUCCCUCAAACUCCUCCAGGGAGGAGGGUCACAAGAAGGCUGGAGGAAGCAGAGACAGGACACCUGACCUGGUGUAGCCAAAGGGCUAUUCCAUGCCACAGCAAAUCAUGCCCAGUAUAGAAAUUGGCAGAGUCCCUUGGAAGGGACGAUCGCUCCUUGAGCCAGGCUGGGUAUUGGUCAGUGGGUGCUAAGCAAUUCUAUUGUGCAUCACCUGUGUUUACUGAUGUUUUUCCUUUCCCCUUUUAGUUUCGUAUACUCUCUCCUUGUUAUUUAUUAAACUCUUCUUAUCUCAACGCAUGGGGUUUACAUUUAUCCAAUUUUUCUGCCAGGAGGAGGGGGGGAGGUGGAGGGUUUUGCUGCGUGGUGCUUAUUUACUGGCCUGGCUUAAACUGCGACUCACAACACCUGCUGUGUGUGAGAAACUUCCACCCACUGGUAGAAGUACAGAUGUUCACAGAAUCAUGGAAUCAACUCGGUUGUAAAAGACCUUUAAG